rnacentral:rRNA from 1 species
UACGUAGGGACCAAGCGUUGUCCGGAAUCAUUGGGCGUAAAGAGCGUGUAGGCGGCUUGUUAAGUCUUGCGUGAAAUCUCGGGGCUCAACCCCGAGCGGUCGUGAGAAACUGGCAGGCUAGAGUGCGGGAGAGGAGAGUGGAAUUCCUGGUGUAGCGGUGGAAUGCGCAGAUAUCAGGAGGAACACCAAUGGCGAAGGCAGGUCUCUGGGCCACAACUGACGCUGAGGAGCGAAAGCGUGGGGAGCGAACAGG